AACAGUUUCAAGACAAUGGCAGGAAAAACAUGCUGAAGAUUGAAACAAACCUUGGCUGGAAAUAUUUGAAGGUAUCUAGCCAGUCCACAAUGAAAGCUUCGUUGCACCCCAUGAGUCUUCUGGCAGAAAUGAUGGCGCCUGUAUUCUUUGGUUUCCCUAAACAUCACACCCUGCCUGUUUAUACGAGGCUCUUCAAUUAAGUCUGCACCCAAAGAUUCAAUAAGAGAGGGGAUCCUGCCAGUCCAAAGUGAACUCCUGAUGGACACUGAAGUACUCCUGCAGAGCUUGUAUCUUCGACACCAUGCGCAUUAGAAACUCCACUGAGUCCUUUCCUUCACCAAGGCAGGACCCAGUGACUCAUUACUGUUGAUAGGUCAGGGGCAGGUAAUAUUUUGUUUCAUGUUUAUUCAUUCCUCCAUGGAUUACCAGCCAUAUAUAUGGACACAUG
ensembl:lncRNA